rnacentral:tRNA from 1 species
GCAAUAGUAUAACGGCUAUUAUGUCUGCCUUGUAAGCAGAAGAUGAGGGUUCAAUUCCUUCUUGCGGC